rnacentral:precursor_RNA from 1 species
UCAGAAGAGGCUACUACUAGCUAUCUAGCUUCAUGUUUAACUCUUCUUGGUUUGUGUUUUUGUGUGCUUGUUGGAGUUGUUAGGAGGAAGAGAGGGGUGAGAGGUGAGGCUGACAGAAGAGAGUGAGCACACAUGGUGACUUUCUUGCAUGCUGAAUGGACUCAUGCUUGAAGCUAUGUGUGCUCACUUCUCUCUCUGUCAGCCAUUUGAUCUCUCUUUCUCUCUUUCUCCCUCAUGUGUUAUACUGUUCUCUCAUAUCUAUCUUCUUUGAGGUAGUAAUAUACUUGAGCAAAUUAAGCUGCUUAAUUAUUUGUGUAUGAUGAUCAGCUGCUGAUCCGGCCUCAUUUCUUGCAUAUAUGAGAUCAGUUUCAACCACAACCACAUACAUGCUUGUUCAUUUUUUUUCACAAAGAAAGAGAACAGUUUAAUUUAAUUUCUUGGGGUUUUUGGAUCAGUUAAUUUGUCUUGAGAGGGGAAGAGAUCUCUAUGGGUUUUGGAGGUCUGACAGAAGAGAGUGAGCACACACGGUGCUUUCUUAGCAUGCAAGAGCCAUGCUGGGAGCUGUGCGUGCUCACUCUCUAUCUGUCAGCCGUUCACCAUGCCCAAUAUGAUUAAUCUCCUUCUCUCAGUUGACAGUAAUUUCUUUGCCAGAUCUCCUGUUAAAUUUUCUGCCUAGCUAGCUAUUAUGCACAUGCUUAUUAUGAUGGGCUUGCCAAUACCAUCUCCACGGCAAAACACAAACUAGCUAUGAUUUGAUUCAUUAUAUUUCUUUUCGCUGUUUAAUUAAUUAUAUGCAG